GCUAAUCACGGUUGGACAUCGUGAGGUUAGUGCAAUGGCAUAAGCCCGCUUAACUGCGAGAAUGACGGUUCGAGCAGGUGCGAAAGCAGGUCAUAGUGAUCCGGUGGUUCUGUAUGGAAGGGCCAUCGCUCAACGGAUAAAAGGUACUCCGGGGAUAACAGGCUGAUACCGCCCAAGAGUUCAUAUCGACGGCGGUGUUUGGCACCUCGAUGUCGGCUCAUCACAUCCUGGGGCUGAAGUCGGUCCCAAGGGUAUGGCUGUUCGCCAUUUAAAGUGGUACGCGAGCUGGGUUUAGAACGUCGUGAGACAGUUCGGUCCCUAUCUGCCGUGGGCGUUGGAAGAUUGAAGGGGGCUGCUCCUAGUACGAGAGGACCGGAGUGGACGAACCUCUGGUGUUCGGGUUGUGUCGCCAGACGCAUUGCCCGGUAGCUAAGUUCGGAAUUGAUAAGCGCUGAAAGCAUCUAAGCGCGAAGCGAGCCCUGAGAUGAGUCUUCCCUGAUACUUUAAGUAUCCUAAAGGGUUGUUCGAGACUAGAACGUUGAUAGGCAGGGUGUGUAAGCGUUGUGAGGCGUUGAGCUAACCUGUACUAAUUGCCCGUGAGGCUUAACCAU
rnacentral:rRNA from 1 species